ACACAACUCUCAGCAACGGAUAUCUUGGCUCUUGCAACGAUGAAGAACGCAGCGAAAUGCGAUACGUAGUGUGAAUUGCAGAAUUCCGCGAAUCAUCGAGUCUUUGAACGCAAGUUGCGCCCGAGGCUUGACCAAGGGCAUUUCUGCCAGAGCGUCACC
rnacentral:rRNA from 1 species